rnacentral:lncRNA from 1 species
AGCAGGAUGGGCUGGUCAGUGGGAUAGCCUCUGUGCACAUUUUGUGGCAAGUAGGAGUGACACAUCAUUCCUGGGAGGCCCCGUGGUUCCUGCCAAACCCAACCCCAGAAUUCUCCCUGAGGUGGUUUUACCAAACCCAUAACCCAGAACUGCUAUUGUGGUUUGGAGGUCAGCACCCACCAGUGCCAGGGCACUACUGGGAGGCUGGGACCUGACCAAAGCCCAUGGUGUCUGUGGCCUGAGGACAGGGUGUCUUGGGGCCAUGAGGACAGGCCACCAAUGGCCGUUGGGUCAUAGGGCCUGAGCCCCAGUGUUUGUCCUUCCCUGGCUCCUUCUGGUUCAGUCCCAUCAGGGCUCUGGAUCCCAAGACGCAGCAUCCAAGGUUCCCUCCAGGAAUCCUGGUGGCUCGGCUUACUUUGUCAUGUUUCAUCUGAUAGCAAAAAUAUCAGAUCGGCUGCACAGAAAAAUGGCUCAAAGUGCUUAAUGACCAGAAGAAAUCUGGGAGCAGCAAGAAGAGGUCUCAGGUGCUCUACAAGGGAGUCCCAUUUCAGGUGUGGGGCUGGGUAUGGUCACUCCUGCUGGAUGUCUAGAAGGUGAAAACCAAGGACCUAGGAAAAUACCAGAUACAGCCUUUCCACCGUCAUCCAGAGCAGGACAAACACGCCAGGUGGUGUCAGGAGCCCAGGUCUCCAGCUGGAGGGAAUGUCAACCCUGCAGUGGGAGCCCAUCAUGCAUCCUAGGCACAGAUGCUAACGUAGGCACCGCAGAAGCACUGCUGACUGUUUGGUGGUUGCUGUUAGGGCAGUGAGCCUUUUGUCCAUUCUGAGAUUGGGCUGGUUUCUCCUCUUGGCCCUGGCCUACAGACCAUAAAGGAAAACAGCAAGAGGUCCCCAGCAAACAUCUACAGAUGGCCCUGGACAUCAGCCACAUUCAGAGAAACGUGUCAUGUUCUGGGAGGGCUAAGGCAUCGAGAAUCCCAGUGAAUAUAUUGCCACCAUCUUGGAGCUCAGUGCCCUCAUAGUGUAACAGCACCAGCAGAUCUGCCUGUGCACAGACUUCCUGUACUACCUCACUCCUGAGGGGAGAUGCUUCUGCAGGGCCUGCGACCUGGUGCACAACUUUAGACACCAUCAUCCUGGAGCGGCACUGCACCCUCACUAGCCAGGGUGUUGAUGACUUCCUCAAUGCCAAGGCCACGUUCAAGAUUUUCGACUUCAGUGAUGCGUUUGUGCUGAGCAAGCCGUUUUGCACACCCUGGUCAGAAUGAAACAUUCCUUGGGAACUCGGGCCGUGAGAAGCAUCCUUCCUGAUCACCUGACUGUAGAAACAUCCUUAUCGCACCCUCCCGGGCAAAGGCCCAACAGCCUGACUGCAGGAACAUCCUUGCCAUAUCCUGCCGGGCAGCAAGCUCUACCGCCCACACCCCUCCUUCCCAGUCCCAUGAUCACCCCAGCCUGUGAGAGGCAGUUGGUGCUGGCAGUAAGCUGGUUUCCUCCUCUGCAGGGUUUUGCUAGUAAUAAAGGUGUUGCUGUUGAAGCCGU